UACGAAGGGUGCAAGCGUUACUCGGAAUUAUUGGGCGUAAAGAGCUCGUAGGCGGCCUGUUGCGUCCGCUGUGAAAGCCCGGGGCUUAACCCCGGGUCGGCAGUGGAUACGGGCAGGCUAGAGGUAGGUAGGGGAGAAUGGAAUUCCCGGUGUAGCGGUGAAAUGCGCAGAUAUCGGGAGGAACACCGGUGGCGAAGGCGGUUCUCUGGGCCUUACCUGACGCUGAGGCGCGAAAGCUAGGGGAGCAAACGGG
rnacentral:rRNA from 1 species